GACGAACGCUGGCGGCGUGCUUAACACAUGCAAGUCGAACGGAAAGGCCCUGCUUUUGUGGGGUGCUCGAGUGGCGAACGGGUGAGUAACACGUGAGUAACCUGCCCUUGACUUUGGGAUAACUUCAGGAAACUGGGGCUAAUACCGGAUAGGAGCUCCUGCUGCAUGGUGGGGGUUGGAAAGUUUCGGCGGUUGGGGAUGGACUCGCGGCUUAUCAGCUUGUUGGUGGGGUAGUGGCUUACCAAGGCUUUGACGGGUAGCCGGCCUGAGAGGGUGACCGGCCACAUUGGGACUGAGAUACGGCCCAGAAUCCUACGGGAGGCAGCAGUGGGGAAUAGUGCAAAAUGGGCGGAAGCCUGAUGCAGAAACGCCGCGUGCGGGAUGACGGCCUUCGGGUUGUAAACCGCUUUCGCCUGUGACGAAGCGUGAGUGACGGUAAUGGGUAAAGAAGCACCGGCUAACUACGUG
rnacentral:rRNA from 1 species